ACGGCACAGAUGUAACGUGAAAACAUUGAGGGGCCAGUGGACGGUAGAGUUGGUAUGUUAAAAGCUUCUCUUCCAGACGCACCGCCAGUCCCACCGUAUCAGGAGCUUCUAUAGAACUGUGAAAACAUUACGGUGCCAGCAGACUUUAGAGCUGAAUUAGUUGUCUCCCCUAUAACACAGACGCCACUUCAAGGGGCCAAGAGUCCGAAUACAAGGCCUACAAUGAGACACUUCAACGGGCCAAAUUAUGGCCGUAGAUACAUUAUGAAGGACACUGGACAGCCCCAGCAUUAUGUUCACCAAAGCAGCAUGUGGAUGACAGCCAUGGAAGGCCAGGAGUGAGACACUUCAACGGGCAAAGUUAUGGCCAUAGACAUGAAGGUCCGGGUGGUAUCGGACACUUGAGAUGGAUAACAAGAUGAAUACCUUGUUAGCCUAUUAACAGGCCAAUGGGUCGGUUGGAGAUUUGUCCUUGCCUGAUGAUCUCAAUCUCCCGAUGCGGGACCGGCAAGCCCUGGAGCUGCUGGAGACCAGGCUGAAGCAGGACACCGAGCUCCAGGAG